rnacentral:lncRNA from 1 species
CUUUAAUCGAUAUUCCAAAGCUGAUUGGGUUCUGGCUUCUGUAGCGAUUUUAAUCGAUUAUAUCAGGGAUUAAUCGAUGAAAACGGAGAAGUUUUGAUUCUAAGCAGCAAAUACAAAGUAUAAAGGUACAAGAAUCAAAACCUACUACAAAUCUAAGUCCUAAACAAUUAAACUACAAUUAUUACAAAAGCUUUUCAUAACAAAAAUAAGUCUUCAAAGGAUCUUCAUGAAUCUUCAUAAAUCUUGACUUGAUUUGGGCAUCAUUAAAACUUCAUCUUCAUCAUUUUGCUAACAUGAAAUACUUGGUGGAUGAGAGGGUUUGUUAGCGAUUAUGGUGGGUGACCGAAUACGGUUCGUGAGUGUGGUAUUUUGAAGCGAAAAGGUGCAAGGUGUGUUUUUUAUCAAUUAUUUUAUGUGGUUGGGGUCCCCCGAUGGAAGUUUGUUGUCUUCUUGUCCCCCCUUUAGUGUGUUCUGUUGUGGUCCCCCUAAUAACUUUGGCUUUGUUGUGGUCCCCUUCUUUAUUGUGUUUUGUUUUGGUGGUGUACUUUUGUUUGUUUGUUUUUCGUCCCCCAUUUGAAAAUUAAAUUUUUUAUUGUGUGGUUGUUGUUGGUACGUUGCAUAUAGUUGGUAUGUGUUAGUGAUUGAGUCAUAUUGUUCAUGCAUAUUUAUUUAAGAAU